rnacentral:rRNA from 1 species
AUUGAACGCUGGCGGCAGGCUUAACACAUGCAAGUCGAGCGGGGGAAGGUAGCUUGCUACCGGACCUAGCGGCGGACGGGUGAGUAAUGCUUAGGAAUCUGCCUAUUAGUGGGGGACAACAUCUCGAAAGGGAUGCUAAUACCGCAUACGUCCUACGGGAGAAAGCAGGGGAUCUUCGGACCUUGCGCUAAUAGAUGAGCCUAAGUCGGAUUAGCUAGGUGGUGGGGUAAAGGCCUACCAAGGCGACGAUCUGUAGCGGGUCUGAGAGGAUGAUCCGCCACACGGGGACUGAGACACGGCCCAGACUCCUACGGGAGGCAGCAGUGGGGAAUAUUGGACAAUGGGGGGAACCCUGAUCCAGCCAUGCCGCGUGUGUGAAGAAGGCCUUAUGGUUGUAAAGCACUUUAAGCGAGGAGGAGGCUACUUUAGUUAAUACCUAGAGAUAGUGGACGUUACUCGCAGAAUAAGCACCGGCUAACUCUGUGCCAGCCGCCGCGGUAA